CCUACGGGGGGCUGCAGUGGGGAAUAUUGGACAAUGGGGGCAACCCUGAUCCAGCCAUGCCGCGUGUGUGAAGAAGGCCCUCGGGUUGUAAAGCACUUUCAGUGAGGAAGAACGCCUGGUGGUUAAUACCCAUCAGGAAAGACAUCACUCACAGAAGAAGCACCGGCUAACUCCGUGCCAGCAGCCGCGGUAAUACGGAGGGUGCGAGCGUUAAUCGGAAUUACUGGGCGUAAAGCGCGCGUAGGUGGCUUGAUAAGCCGGUUGUGAAAGCCCCGGGCUCAACCUGGGAACGGCAUCCGGAACUGUCAAGCUAGAGUGCAGGAGAGGAAGGUAGAAUUCCCGGUGUAGCGGUGAAAUGCGUAGAGAUCGGGAGGAAUACCAGUGGCGAAGGCGGCCUUCUGGACUGACACUGACACUGAGGUGCGAAAGCGUGGGUAGCAAACAGGAUUAGGUACCCGUGUAGUC
rnacentral:rRNA from 1 species